rnacentral:rRNA from 1 species
AGAGUUUGAUCCUGGCUCAGAACAAACGCUGGCGGCGUGUCUUAAGCAUGCAAGUCGAGCGGCAAGGGCAGCAAUGCCCCUAGAGCGGCGGACUGGCGAGUAACGCGUGGGUGAUCUACCUUUGGCAUGGGGAUAGCCAUUAGAAAUAGUGGGUAAUACCGAAUACGUUCGGCACCGUGAGGGUGCUGAGGAAAGGUGCUACGGCACCGGCCGGAGAUGAGCCUGCGUCCGAUUAGCUAGCUGGUGAGGUAAAGGCCCACCAAGGCUAUGGUCGGUAGGCGGCCUGAGAGGGUGUACGCCCACAUUGGGACUGAGAUACGGCCCAAACUCCUACGGGAGGCAGCAGCUAAGAAUAUUCCGCAAUGGACGAAAGUCUGACGGAGCGACGCCGCGUGGAUGAUGAAGGCCGAAAGGUUGUAAAGUCCUUUUGCUGGGGAAGAAUAAGUCUGGGAGGGAGGGAAUGCCCGGAUGAUGACAUGAACCGGCGAAUAAGCCCCGGCUAACUACGUGCCAGCCGCCGCGGU